rnacentral:lncRNA from 1 species
AGAUUCUCAAGCCAUCCCAAUGCCCCCCCCCCCUCCCUCCCACACACACACACAACACACACACAACAACACACACACACACACACACACACAAAUCCAUCAUCAAAACGACCUGCUGGUAAAACAUUUUUCCCCAGUCUACAAUAAGAUAACAGAAAAGUGCUUUGGUUCUUUUUGUUUCUGUUGUUUCAUCUCCCUCUGUUGUUUCUGUUGUGGUAUCUCCCUCUGUUGUUUCUGUUGUGGUAUCUCCCUCUGUUGUUUCUGUUGUGGUAUCUCCCUCUGUUGUUUCUGUUGUGGUAUCUCCCUCUGUUGUUUCUGUUGUGGUAUCUCCCUCUGUUGUUUCUGUUGUGGUAUCUCCCUCUGUUGUUUCUGUUGUGGUAUCUCCCUCUGUUGUUUCUGUUGUGGUAUCUCCCUCUGUUGUUUCUGUUGUGGUAUCUCCCUCUGUUGUUUCUGUUGUGGUAUCUCCCUCUGUUGUUUCUGUUGUGGUAUCUCCCUCUGUUGUUUCUGUUGUGGUAUCUCCCUCUGUUGUUUCUGUUGUGGUAUCUCCCUCUGUUGUUUCUGUUGUGGUAUCUCCCUCUGUUGUUUCUGUUGUGGUAUCUCCCUCUGUUGUUUCUGUUGUUUCAUCUCCCUCUGUUGUUUCUGUUGUUUCAUCUCCCUCUGUUGUUUCUGUUGUUUCAUCUCCCUCUGUUGUUUCUGCUGUUUCAUCUCCCUCUGUUGUUUCUGUUGUUUCAUCUCCCUCUGUUGUUUCUGUUGUUUCAUCUCCCUCUGUUGUUUCUGUUGUUUCAUCUCCCUCUGUUGUUUCUGUUGUUUCAUCUCCCUCUGUUGUUUCUGUUGUUUCAUCUCCCUCUGUUGUUUCUGUUGUUUCAUCUCCCUCUGUUGUUUCUGUUGUUUCAUCUCCCUCUGUUGUUUCUGUUGUUUCAUCUCCCUCUGUUGUUUCUGUUGUGGUAUCUCCCUCUGUUGUUUCUGUUGUUUCAUCUCCCUCUUUUGUUUCUGUUGUGGUAUCUCCCUCUGUUGUUUCUGUUGUGGUAUCUCCCUCUGUUGUUUCAUCUCCCUCUGUUUUUUCUGUUGUGGUAUCUCCCUCUGUUGUUUCUGUUGUGGUAUCUCCCUCUGUUGUUUCUGUUGUUUCAUCUCCCUCUGUUGUUUCUGUUGCUUCAUCUCCCUCUGUUGUUUCUGUUGUUUCAUCUCCCUCUGUUGUUUCUGUUGUGGUAUCUCCCUCUGUUGUUUCUGUUGUGGUAUCUCCCUCUGUUGUGGUAUCUCCCUCUGUUGUUUCUGUUGUGGUAUCUCCCUCUGUUGUUUCUGUUGUGGUAUCUCCGUCUGUUUUUUCUGUUAUGGUAUCUCCUUCUGUUGUUUCUGUUGUGGUAUCUCCCUCUGUUGUGGUAUCUCCCUCUGUUGUUUCUGUUGUGGUAUCUCCCUCUGUUGUUUCUGUUGUGGUAUCUCCCUCUGUUGUUUCUGUUGUGGUAUCUCCCUCUGUUGUUUCUGUUGUGGUAUCUCCCUCUGUUGUUUCUGUUGUGGUAUCUCCCUCUGUUGUUUCUGUUGUGGUAUCUCCCUCUGUUGUUUCUGUUGUGGUAUCUCCCCUCUGUUGUUUCUGUUGUGGUAUCUCCCUCUGUUGUUUCUGUUGUGGUAUCUCCCUCUGUUGUUUCUGUUGUGGUAUCUCCCUCUUUUGUUUCUGUUGUUUCAUCUCCCUCUGUUGUUUCUGUUGUUUCAUCUCCCUCUGUUGUUUCUGUUGUUUCAUCUCCCUCUGUUGUUUCUGUUGUUUCAUCUCCCUCUGUUGUUUCUGUUGUUUCAUCUCCCUCUGUUGUUUCUGUUGUUUCAUCUCCCUCUGUUGUUUCUGUUGUGGUAAUCUCCCUCUGUUGUUUCUGUUGUGGUAUCUCCCUCUGUUGUUUCAUCUCCCUCUGUUUUUUCUGUUGUGGUAUCUCCCUCUGUUGUUUCUGUUGUGGUAUCUCCCUCUGUUGUUUCUGUUGUGGUAUCUCCCUCUGUUGUUUCUGUUGUUUCAUCUCCCUCUGUUGUUUCUGUUGCUUCAUCUCCCUCUGUUGUUUCUGUUGUGGUAUCUCCCUCUGUUGUUUCUGUUGUUUCAUCUCCCUCUGUUGUUUCUGUUGCUUCAUCUCCCUCUGUUGUUUCUGUUGCUUCAUCUCCCUCUGUUGUUUCUGUUGUGGUAUCUCCCUCUGUUGUUUCUGUUGUGGUAUCUCCCUCUGUUGUGGUAUCUCCCUCUGUUGUUUCUGUUGUGGUAUCUCUCCCUCUGUUGUUUCUGUUGUGGUAUCUCCGUCAGUUUUUUCUGUUAUGGUAUCUCCUUCUGUUGUUUUCUGUUGUGGUAUCUCCCUCUGUUGUGGUAUCUCCCUCUGUUGUUUCUGUUGUGGUAUCUCCCUCUGUUGUUUCUGUUGUGGUAUCUCCCUCUGUUGUUUCAUCUCCCCUGUUGUUUCUGUUGUGGUAUCUCCCUCUGUUGUUUCUGUUGUGGUAUCUCCCUCUUUGUUUCUGUUGUUUCAUCUCCCUCUGUUGUUUCUGUUGUUUCAUCUCCCUCUGUUGUUUCUGUUGUUUCAUCUCCCUCUGUUGUUUCUGUUGUUUCAUCUCCCUCUGUUGUUUCUGUUGUUUCAUCUCCCUCUGUUGUUUCUGUUGUGGUAUCUCCCUCUGUUGUUUCUGUUGUGGUAUCUCCCUCUGUUGUUUCAUCUCCCUCUGUUUUUUCUGUUGUGGUAUCUCCCUCUGUUGUUUCUGUUGUGGUAUCUCCCUCUGUUGUUUCUGUUGUGGUAUCUCCCUCUGUUGUUUCUGUUGUUUCAUCUCCCUCUGUUGUUUCUGUUGCUUCAUCUCCCUCUGUUGUUUCUGUUGUGGUAUCUCCCUCUGUUGUUUCUGUUGUUUCAUCUCCCUCUGUUGUUUCUGUUGCUUCAUCUCCCUCUGUUGUUUCUGUUGUUUCAUCUCCCUCUGUUGUUUCUGUUGUGGUAUCUCCCUCUGUUGUUUCUGUUGUGGUAUCUCCCUCUGUUGUGGUAUCUCCCCUCUGUUGUUUCUGUUGUGGUAUCUCCCUCUGUUGUUUUCUGUUGUGGUAUCUCCGUCUGUUUUUUCUGUUAUGGUAUCUCCUUCUGUUGUUUCUGUUGUGGUAUCUCCCUCUGUUGUGGUAUCUCCCUCUGUUGUUUCUGUUGUGGUAUCUCCCUCUGUUGUUUCUGUUGUGGUAUCUCCCUCUGUUGUUUCUGUUGUGGUAUCUCCCCUCUGUUGUUUCUGUUGUGGUAUCUCCCUCUGUUGUUUUCUGUUGUGGUAUCUCCCUCUGUUGUUUCUGUUGUGGUAUCUCCCUCUGUUGUUUCUGUUGUGGUAUCUCCCUCUGUUGUUUCUGUUGUGGUAUCUCCCUCUUUGUUUCUGUUGUUUCAUCUCCCUCUGUUGUUUCUGUUGUUUCAUCUCCCUCUGUUGUUUCUGUUGUUUCAUCUCCCUCUGUUGUUUCUGUUGUUUCAUCUCCCUCUGUUGUUUCUGUUGUUUCAUCUCCCUCUGUUGUUCUGUUGUUUCAUCCCCCUCUGUUGUUCUGUUGUUUCAUCUCCCUCUGUUGUUUCUGUUGUUUCAUCUCCCUCUGUUUUUUCUGUUGUGGUAUCUCCCUCUGUUGUUUCUGUUGUGGUAUCUCCCUCUGUUGUUUCUGUUGUGGUAUCUCCCUCUGUUGUUUCUGUUGUUUCAUCUCCCUCUGUUGUUUCUGUUGCUUCAUCUCCCUCUGUUGUUUCUGUUGUGGUAUCUCCCUCUGUUGUUUCUGUUGUUUCAUCUCCCUCUGUUGUUUCUGUUGCUUCAUCUCCCUCUGUUGUUUCUGUUGUUUCAUCUCCCUCUGUUGUUUCUGUUGUGGUAUCUCCCUCUGUUGUUUCUGUUGUGGUAUCUCCCUCUGUUGUGGUAUCUCCCUCUGUUGUUUCUGUUGUGGUAUCUCCCUCUGUUGUUUUCUGUUGUGGUAUCUCCGUCAGUUUUUUCUGUUAUGGUAUCUCCUUCUGUUGUUUCUGUUGUGGUAUCUCCCUCUGUUGUGGUAUCUCCCUCUGUUGUUUCUGUUGUGGUAUCUCCCUCUGUUGUUUCUGUUGUGGUAUCUCCCUCUGUGUUUCAUCUCCCCCUGUUGUUUCUGUUGUGGUAUCUCCCUCUGUUGUUUCAUCUCCCUCUGUUGUUUUCUGUGGUGGUAUCUCCCUCGUUUGUUUCUGUUGUGGUAUCUCCCUCUGUUGUUUCUGUUGUGGUAUCUCCCUCUGUUGUUUCAUCUCCCUCUGUUGUUUCUGUUGUGGCAUCUCCCUCUGUUGUUUCUGUUGUGGUAUCUCCCUCUGUUGUUUCUGUUGUGGUAUCUCCCUCUGUUGUUUCUGUUGUGGUAUCUCCCUCUGUUGUUUCUGGUUUCUCCCUCUGUUGUUUCUGUUGCUUCAUCUCCCUCUGUUGUUUCUGUUGCUUCAUCUCCCUCUGUUGUUUCUGUUGUGGUAUCUCCCUCUGUUGUGGUAUCUCCCUCUGUUGUUUCUGUUGUGGUAUCUCCCUCUGUUGUUUCUGUUGUGGUAUCUCCCUCUGUUUUUUCUGUUAUGGUAUCUCCCUCUGUUGUUUCUGUUGUGGUAUCUCCCUCUGUUGUGGUAUCUCCCUCUGUUGUUUCUGUUGUGGUAUCUCCCUCUGUUGUUUUCUGUUGUGGUAUCUCCCUCUGUUGUUUCAUCUCCCCCUGUUGUUUCUGUUGUGGUAUCUCCCUCUGUUGUUUCAUCUCCCUCUGUUGUUUCUGUGGUGGUAUCUCCCUCGUUUGUUUCUGUUGUGGUAUCUCCCUCUGUUGUUUCUGUUGUGGUAUCUCCCUCUGUUGUUUCAUCUCCCUCUGUUGUUUCUGUUGUGGCAUCUCCCUCUGUUGUUUCUGUUGUGGUAUCUCCCUCUGUUGUUUCUGUUGUGGUAUCUCCCUCUGUUGUUUCUGUUGUGGUAUCUCCCUCUGUUGUUUCUGUUGUGGUAUCUCCCUCUGUUGUUUCUGGUUUCUUCCCUCUGUUGUUUCUGUUGUGGUAUCUCCCUCUGUUGUUUCUGGUUUCUCCCUCUGUUGUUUCUGUUGUGGUAUCUCCCUCUGUUGUUUCAUCUCCCUCUGUUGUUUCUGUUGUGGUAUCUCCCUCUGUUGUUGGGUCUGUUUUGUGGCGAUGCGUAUCUGCCCGCUCUCACCUGAGGAUCACCCUCUUAUUUCUCCUUCACCACUUUAUUAACUGGAAUGGACUGCUCUAUCACAGAGAAUAUGUAUUUAGGGGUUCUUCCUAAAGGCAGUUAUUAAUAUCAUAAAUAUUUGAUGCUACUUUGUGUGACCCUGGAGAGACUGACAAUGAAAGGGGAAGGCGAGGUAUGAAGGUUAAC